UACGUAGGUGGCAAGCGUUGUCCGGAAUUAUUGGGCGUAAAGCGCGCGCAGGCGGUUCUUUAAGUCUGAUGUGAAAGCCCACGGCUCAACCGUGGAGGGUCAUUGGAAACUGGAGGACUUGAGUGCAGAAGAGGAAAGUGGAAUUCCAAGUGUAGCGGUGAAAUGCGUAGAGAUUUGGAGGAACACCGGUGGCGAAGGCGACUUUCUGGUCUGUAACUGACGCUGAGGCGCGAAAGCGUGGGGAGCAAACAGGAUUAGAUACCCCGGUAGUCCCUGA
rnacentral:rRNA from 1 species